AUGUCGCUUCUCCCACAAGUUAGGGAGUGAGUAAAAUUUGUGAGCAGGAAUGCUGUCUUUGUCUGACUGUCCGACUUCAUCCAUGCCCUCAGACAUUGUCCACGCCCUCAGAGAAGAUUAUUCAACCCUGCCUGAACAACAGAAUAUAAGUUUUCUCAGACAUAACUACGUGGUGGGGUAGCCUUGGCUAACAGACUCCAACCUGGUUGCUCACACACUGCUGGAUGGGAAAAUAAAAUAACAGUCCUUGUGGUCAUUCAGCAGUCCUGUUUUAUGCAAGUUGUUUACAUCACAUCUAAACUGUCAUCCAGUUGUGAAAUUCUGUAUCCAGAAACUCACAACAAAUUCUAGGACUCCUUCUGGAAGAAGGGCCACACAAAAGAGACA